rnacentral:rRNA from 1 species
GACGAACGCUGGCGGCGUGCCUAAUACAUGCAAGUUGAGCGCUGAAGGUUGGUACUUGUACCAACUGGAUGAGCAGCGAACGGGUGAGUAACGCGUGGGGAAUCUGCCUUUGAGCGGGGGACAACAUUUGGAAACGAAUGCUAAUACCGCAUAAAAACUUUAAACACAAGUUUUAAGUUUGAAAGAUGCAAUUGCAUCACUCAAAGAUGAUCCCGCGUUGUAUUAGCUAGUUGGUGAGGUAAAGGCUCACCAAGGCGAUGAUACAUAGCCGACCUGAGAGGGUGAUCAGCCACAUUGGGACUGAGACACGGCCCAAACUCCUACGGGAGGCAGCAGUAGGGAAUCUUCGGCAAUGGACGAAAGUCUGACCGAGCAACGCCGCGCGAGUGAAGAAGGGUUUCGGAUCGUAAAACUCUGUUGGUAGAGAAGAACGUUGGUGAGAGUGGAAAGCUCAUCAAGUGACGGUAACUACCCAGAAAGGGACGGCUAACUACGUG